GGAGUUACUCCACGUAUUGCUUGACGUAAAACAGAUAGUGGAUUUGUUUGUCUCAAGACCUACGGGCCAAGGGACAGUCUCAGGUAGACAAUUUCCAUUGGGCAUAGGCCUUCCAAAAGGUAACAAAGGCGUGCAAAGGUUUCCUCGAGCCGGACGGAGAUUGGCCCUCGAGUGUAAAGGCAAAAGGGAGCUUGACUGCAAGACCCACCCGUCGAGCAAGGACGAAAGUCGGCCUUAGUGAUCCGACAGUGCCGAGUGGAAGGGUUGUCGCUCAAUAGAUAAAAGUUACUCUAGGGACAACAGGCUGAUCUUCUCCAAGAGCUCACAUCGACGGGAAGGUUUGGCACCUCGAUGUCGGCUCUUCGCCACCUGGGGCUAUAGUAUGUUCCAAGUGUUGAGCUGUUCGCCCAUUAAAGCGGUACGUUCUACUAAAAAAAAUGAACAAAUUAGUUCUU
rnacentral:ncRNA from 1 species